rnacentral:rRNA from 1 species
CAACAGAGUCGCAGCCUGACGCAGCACGCCGCGUGAAGGAUGAAGGCCCUUGGGGUGUAAACUCCUUUCGACUGGGAAGAUAAUGACGGUACCUGUGGAAGAAGCCCCGGCUAACUCUGUGCCAGCAGCCGCGGUAAUACAAAGGGUGCUAGCGUUGUUCGGAAUUAUUGGGCGUAAAGGGCGCGUAGGCGGUGCGGUAAGUCACCUGUGAAACCUCUGGGCUUAACUCCGAGCCUGCCGGCGAAACUGCCGUGCUGGAGGGUGGGAGAGGUGCGUGGAAUUCCCGGUGUAGCGGUGAAAUGCGUAGAUAUCCGGAGGAACACCUGUGGCGAAAGCGGCUCACUGGACCACUACUGACGCUGAGGCGCGAAAGCCGGGGGAGCAAACAGGAUUAGAUACCCUGGUAGUCCCGGCCCUAAACGAUGAUUGCUUGGUGUGAUCGGGACCGAAUCCGAUUGGGCCGCAUCUAACUCUAUGAGUACUCCCCGUGGGGAGUACGGGCGCGAGGCUGAAACUCAGGGGAAGUGAGG